AAUGGGUUGCCCAAGAAGUCCAUUUGGGUUUUUCCAUCACAUCUUAUAGAAAAACUUGAAUGAACUUUAGGGUUUGAACCCAG
rnacentral:miRNA from 1 species